rnacentral:rRNA from 1 species
CACUGGUGGAUUAGUGGCGAACGGGUGAGUAACACGUGAGUAACCUGCCCCUGACUUCGGGAUAAGCCCGGGAAACUGGGUCUAAUACCGGAUAUGACUUCCUGCUGCAUGGCAGGGGGUGGAAAGAUUUAUCGGUUGGGGAUGGACUCGCGGCCUAUCAGCUUGUUGGUGAGGUAAUGGCUCACCAAGGCGACGACGGGUAGCCGGCCUGAGAGGGUGACCGGCCACACUGGGACUGAGACACGGCCCAGACUCCUACGGGAGGCAGCAGUGGGGAAUAUUGCACAAUGGGCGAAAGCCUGAUGCAGCGACGCCGCGUGAGGGAUGACGGCCUUCGGGUUGUAAACCUCUUUCAGUAGGGAAGAAGCCCCUUUUUGGGGUGACGGUACUUGCAGAAGAAGCGCCGGCUAACUACGUGCCAGCAGCCGCGGUAAUACGUAGGGCGCAAGCGUUAUCCGGAAUUAUUGGGCGUAAAGAGCUCGUAGGCGGUUUGUCGCGUCUGCCGUGAAAGUCCGAGGCUCAACCUCGGAUCUGCGGUGGGUACGGGCAGACUAGAGUGAUGUAGGGGAGACUGGAAUUCCUGGUGUAGCGGUGAAAUGCGCAGAUAUCAGGAGGAACACCGAUGGCGAAGGCAGGUCUCUGGGCAUUUACUGACGCUGAGGAGCGAAAGCAUGGGGAGCGAACAGGAUUAGAUACCCUGGUAGUCCAUGCCGUAAACGUUGGGCACUAGGUGUGGGGGACAUUCCACGUUUUCCGCGCCGUAGCUAACGCAUUAAGUGCCCCGCCUGGGGAGUACGGCCGCAAGGCUAAAACUCAAAGGAAUUGACGGGGGCCCGCACAAGCGGCGGAGCAUGCGGAUUAAUUCGAUGCAACGCGAAGAACCUUACCAAGGCUUGACAUGUUCCUGACCGGGCCAGAGAUGGUCUUUCCCCUUUUGGGGC